AAUUUGUGAUGUGGGUACUUCCGAAUCAAUAUCUUGAAAUGCUCCCUUGCUUCACAAAGGCUUUCUCCUUCUAACUGUUUGAACAUCAAAAUUCAUUUCAUCU
rnacentral:snoRNA from 1 species